rnacentral:rRNA from 1 species
GACAGAGGGGGCAAGCGUUGCUCGGAAUCACUGGGCGUAAAGGGCGCGUAGGCGGCCUGCUAAGUCGAACGUGAAAUCCCCGGGCUCAACCCGGGAACUGCGUCCGAUACUGGUAGGCUUGAAUUCGGGAGAGGGAUGCGGAAUUCCAGGUGUAGCGGUGAAAUGCGUAGAUAUCUGGAGGAACACCGGUGGCGAAGGCGGCAUCCUGGACCGACAUUGACGCUGAGGCGCGAAAGCCAGGGGAGCAAGACGG